rnacentral:lncRNA from 1 species
GCAUAAUCCGACACUGUCAUGUUUCCCUGGACUAAUUGAGCAAACUCCAUUUCCUUCAAGUGUUGGAUGUGUUUAGGGAGAUACUCCGCGUGGAAGGCCGCUAAGAAUUGCUCCCAAGUAGCUGGUGUAGGCAGGGUGGUCCGCUUGAGCUCCCACCAGCGUACUGCUUCCCCUACCAGCAUGUAGGAGGCAAUGGCAGCCCUCUGCUCAGGAACUACUCCCAAGGUCUCGAAAGCUCUCUCAGUCUCUGCCAGCCAGUAUUGGGCCUCUUCAAAAGAGGAUCCCCCUGCAAAAGUAGAAGGGUUCAGUCUUCUGUACCUCUCUAUGAAGCCGGGGUCGAUCAAGGAAGGAGCGGGGUCCCGAGGUAGAGGGACUGGGGCCGGCUAAGGGUGAAUUGGGGGACCCUGUGGUGGCACCUGCUGAUGUGGUGGGGGUACCGGAAUGUGCUGUGGCGGUGCCUGGUGGU